AACAAUUAAUAUUUAGUUAGCUCCACCAUACUCACAUGAUUUUGUGUUGCUUCUUUAUAUAAACACUCUACUUCAAUCAAAGCUCAAAAGGUACAGAAUUAAUAUUUGCUAGACAUUUCAGAGUACAUAUUUACAUAUAUAAAUCAUGGGUAUAUCAUUAUUAUUACUUAAAUUGGCCAUUUUAGCCAUAGCAGUUGCUCUAAAUCUCAUGCAGUUGAGUACAGCACAAACGACACACGUAGUUGGAGAUGGCUUGGGUUAUUGGUUGGUCCCUCCAGGAGGCCCAAUCGCUUAUCAAAUUUGGGUCAAGUCUCAAACAUUUGUCCUUGGUGAUGUUCUUGCUUUAGCUGUUUAAAUUUGGAUUGCAAUCCUAGCGAGUUGAGUCGGAUGGUUGGACAGAAGGGUAGAGAUUGUCCAAGUGAAGAUGAAGCUCAAAUCUUCUUUAAUUUUGAAUUAAUUGUUUUAAGUUUAUGAACAAUUUAGUUUCAAUUUUAGUUUGGGAUUUUAUUUCCUAUUUCAUAUUUAUGCAGACAAUUCAUUAUGAUAUUUUUGAGAAUUUUAAUAAAGUUUUCUCUUUAAGAAAUUUUCAUUAUGAAUUGGGCUUUAUGUUUACUUUAUCUUGUGUAUGCCAAUACCAAUACCAAUUAUAUUUUAUAUUUAUCAUGUUUGUA